UCCGUAGGUGAACCUGCGGAAGGAUCAUUACCGAGUGAGGGCCCUCUGGGUCCAACCUCCCACCCGUGUUUAUUUUACCUUGUUGCUUCGGCGGGCCCGCCUUAACUGGCCGCCGGGGGGCUUACGCCCCCGGGCCCGCGCCCGCCGAAGACACCCUCGAACUCUGUCUGAAGAUUGUAGUCUGAGUGAAAAUAUAAAUUAUUUAAAACUUUCAACAACGGAUCUCUUGGUUCCGGCAUCGAUGAAGAACGCAGCGAAAUGCGAUACGUAAUGUGAAUUGCAAAUUCAGUGAAUCAUCGAGUCUUUGAACGCACAUUGCGCCCCCUGGUAUUCCGGGGGGCAUGCCUGUCCGAGCGUCAUUGCUGCCCUCAAGCACGGCUUGUGUGUUGGGCCCCGUCCUCCGAUCCCGGGGGACGGGCCCGAAAGGCAGCGGCGGCACCGCGUCCGGUCCUCGAGCGUAUGGGGCUUUGUCACCCGCUCUGUAGGCCCGGCCGGCGCUUGCCGAUCAACCCAAAUUUUUAUCCAGGUUGACCUCGGAUCAGGUAGGGAUACCCGCUGAACUUAAGCAUAUCAAUAAGCGGAA
rnacentral:rRNA from 1 species